rnacentral:rRNA from 1 species
CCCCUAGAUGUUCUGGGCCGCACGCGCGCUACACUGAACAGUUCAACAAGUCUUAACCUUGGCCGAAAGGUCUGGGUAAUCUCCAAAUUUCGUCGUGAUGGGGAUAGAUUAUUGCAAUUAUUAAUCUUCAACGAGGAAUGCCUAGUAAGCGCAAGUCAUCAGCUUGCGUUGAUUACGUCCCUGCCCUUUGUACACACCGCCCGUCGCUCCUACCGAUUGAAUGGUCCGGUGAAGCGUUCGGACCGUGGCCUUUGGACGGUUCGCCGUCUGUUGGCUGCGGGAAGUUCGUUAAACCUUNUNAUUUAGNGGAAGGAGAANUCGUANCA